rnacentral:lncRNA from 1 species
UUAGAAUGUUGAAGCAGAGGGGCCACUAAAAUCAGAAAAAUGGAGGUGGAUUCCAAGUAGGGUAAAUGGGCACAAUUUUCCCCAUUCUUACCCUUAUCCUCAGUCAACUUCCAUUUUCCCACUAUGUGCAUUGCUGCUGAAAUGCCAGCAUUCAUAAUUAGGUACACACAAGACAAAGAAUGCUUUUUAAUCCUCAACAGAAAAUUGUCAGGAACAUUCUUAGCUCUCCAGUUUUGUGUGUUAUGUGUAUGUUUUCUCCCUCCAAGGCCUUGUGAUUUUGCUACAUAAGUUUGAUGACAGCUAUCUUAGAUCUGAGAGUGUAGUUUUGUUCCUUUUAGUGGUUUUGAAGUCCUCUCAAAGAUAUGAGGCUUUGUGUUGUUAGGGUUUGGAAAUAUGAAAGGAUAUUUAUUGGAUGAAGGGUCAAGAGCAAAGGACCCUCCACCAAACCAUGAAUCAUGUGGCCCCAUGAUCUCCAGAGAAAAAUGGAAAUUGAUUAAUCAUGGCUCAGAGGAGGAGGCAUGUUUCAAACUACAUCAGACCUUACAAUGUGAGGUUUACCUCUCUCUUUCUCAAAAACACAGGUUUAAAUACAUGUGUGUGUGUGUGAGAAAAGUUUCCAAAUUGACUUAUUUAAAUAUAAAGUAAGUUGAUAUCCUCUAGCUCAACAAACUUGAACCUACACAAGCAUUGAAUUUAUAUCAAGAAUUCUUACUUGGUGGAAUAUUAUUUGGUGCCUUCUGGUCACAGCUGAGCUCAAGCUUGAGCUUGGUCAAGCAAUGAAAUAGUCAAGACAAAAAGACAAAAAAUGAAAAAAUGAAAAAAUGAAUGCAAUAGAUGAAGAAAUAAGGGAGUUUAAUACUUGCACAGUAGUAGUGGUGUUGUAGUAUUGAGAUGUCUCUGCUCUUGCAAUUUGAUCCACAUCAAAUGGUUGGCCACUUGGUGUAUGACUCUGUUGCCAUGGACCUGUGGAUCAUGGAGGUUGGUAAGAACUCAUUUGCUACUUUUGCUGCCUCAAGGCUGUUGACAAGUAGAGGGCUUCCCUGCAACUAAAUUCCUGCCUUUCUAUGGAGAAACAAGAAGGUUUUUAAUUUCAAUUUUAUUUAUUUAUUUACUGAAACUUAACAAAAAAAUAAAGAAAAAUUAGAUAUAUGUAUUUGUAUAAAAAUAAAAGGAGCCCAUUGUUUUAAAAGGACAAAGGAUAACCAUGUCUUGUUGGCUUGACAUGCUUUCAUUUGAGGGUGGAGGGUGAGCGGGGAUGGGACCCAACAAGAAUGGCUCAAAAAGGUGGAACUUAAUUUGUAUAGAAGUGUGUUAGAUCUCAUACAGUUUGUAUGCUUUUCUCUGUAGGGUUGACUCACUGGCAUGAAGUUUGUUUAUGGAAUGCCAAUUUUUCAUUCACACUACUGGGUUCAAAAGGGGGCUGAGUCAAUGCAAAACUUGGUAAAGAUUGAUUCCUCAACUGAAGAUGGAUGCUAGGGUGCAGCCAAUUGCUAGAAUCAUCAGCUAUUCUUGUUGGGUCCAACACGCAAACCUGCAAUAGUUUUCUUUUUGGUACAAAAGUAUGUCAUGUUGAAAUUUACCAUGUGAAGUAUUCUUGUAAUUGUGUCCAUUAAUAAUUAUAAUAAUAAUAGAAAGUGUACAUUGUGAUAUGUUUUAAUUGCAUCCACAGUAGCCAGAAAUGGUGAAACUUGAGAAGUAAUGUCUUCCAUGCUUUA